rnacentral:ncRNA from 1 species
AAAGAGUACUACUACUACUACUACUACUAUUACUACUAUUACUACUACUACUUAAAAAAAAAAAAAGCAAACCAGCAAAACCCAAAACUUUAGAGUGCACACAUUGAGAAGUUUGAUACAUUUUUCUGAAGAAAUCAAAGUGUUCAAAGCUGGCUGGCCAACAGUGCACUCCAGCCAGGAAUAACAGGAUAGGACUCUGGCUCUUUUUUUGUUGUUUUUUGACCACAAUUAAGAGAAAAGGCUGGGAGCAUUCAUAUUGUGCAUCUUGACCUGGAAUUCUUGGACCAGAGAAAGAUGAACUAAAGCAAAAACAUUUGCCAAGAAUGUUUUCAUCAAGCAGGAACAAAAGCUGGAGGCUUGUGGCCAACUCACUGUCCAGUGGUGUUGAUCCCAUAAUUCUCUGUGCAGUUCUCAGGACACCCAAGUUUCUGGU